GAGCUUCCGAGGGCUUUCUCUGCUUUCUGGAGGAAGAAGCGUCUGCUGUGCCAAGGUCUCACCUCCCUUGGCUCGGGAGGGUCCCAGGAGUGACCUCUCGCAGCCAAGGUGGCGGACAGGUCACACUUCAGAGCUCCAAAGGGCGACUCAUGGGUGAAAAAUUCUGGAGCCCUGGGACUUAAGAAAUUGAUGUUAUGGAAAGAUGUCCAUAUUACAGGAAUCCUUCCUUGCAAUGUCAUUCGGUCUCUCCUCCCUGACUUCCCAGUGUGGGAGGCAGAACAGCAGCCCAAGAAUUGUCCACGGCCUAAUCCCCGGAACCUGGGAAUGUGCGCGUACAUGGCCAAAGGGAUUUGGCAGAUGUGACUAACAAUGGAGAGAUUGUUCUGCGUUAUCUGGGCGGGCCAGUGUCAUCACAAGGACUCUUACAAGGGGAGCACUAGACACAAAAGGAGAAGGCAAUGUGUGACCGAGCAGAGCUUCGGAAGGAUGCUUUUUAAAGAUGGCGGAAGGAACACAGGCAGCCAGUAGGAGCUCGAAAGGCAAGGAAGCGGGUUCUCCUCCCACCGCUCCCUGCAGGUGCUGGCGUCCCUAUCAUCACUCCUAUCUGUGUCCCCCCCUUGAUGUUCUCUUGACACUCAUUGUAGCCUGAUUCCACCUGUCUUCACUCGUUGGGACGGAGAAAGGAUGAGGCACUAAAAGCCGCCACCGAAGGACUACCUAGCAGACCGCCAGUGCAUCGACAUAAUGGACUCGUCUCCGUGGAACAAACCGCUAAGGACUCAGACUCCCCUCUGGCCUUCUCCGCCCUGGGAGGCGCUGGGGACCCUGAAGAGUUGCCCUCCCCUUCUGGAACCGCGGGCUCUAAGGUGUCUACAGCUUCCACGAGCUCUGAGAAGGGAAGGCCCUAGAAAGACCCGGCGCCUCCCUUCCUUCCCCCACGGCUUGCUUUUCCCAGCCGAGGCCCUCCUCACAAUGGAGCCCGGCCAGGCCCUGUUGCUGAGGGAACCGGCGGCAGGCCCAGCCCCCUUCCCCACAGAAAUAACCAGAGGAGAGGAGCACGGGAUUGAAUUGCCCUAAUCUCCAGGCUUCAGAGGAGGCUGGGAGCCUGGCCAGCCUGGGGCGGCAGCUCCCCACUGGCCUUGAGGAAGCCGGAGUGCAGGGGCCUGGCCCUUACCUCUCCCUCCUACCCCACCUUCACUUCUCUCUCCCCAGCACAACCCCAGCCCCCCCCCCAAGGGAGAGACCACCAGUUUUCCUUCCCUGACACAGGAAGGGAGGGCCAAAGCCAGCCACUGCCCGGCUUUCCCCCCCUCACCCCGUCUGAUCUCCCCGGCGCUAGGAAUGAGGGAGGCGCCAGCGGCCCUAAUGAGAGAUGCAAUUUUGUUUGGUUCUGACUCAUUGUCUGCAGACGUUGGUGGAUAAGAAUCAGACCACCCUCUACGGGCAGCUGAGACGUUGCAGACACAGGUAAAGGUGUGUUCCAUCACACCCGGCCGGGAUGACGCCUUCGGCGUGGCCUUCGAGGCCUCCCUUCGAUCCUUUGGUUCAGGGGCGUUCGCCCCGAAGUCAGUGUAGGGUACAUGGGUCACUUUAAAAAAAUACCCACACCUCGGCCCCCUCCCACCUGAAAAUGCAGACUUGGUGAGUCUAAGGUGGAACUCAGGAGAAGGGUUUUUUUUUUUUUUUUCCUAAAUUUUUUUUAAGUUUAUUUAUUCAUUUCGAGAGAGACAGAGAGACAGAGACAAAGAGAGAGAGUGGGGGGAGGGGCAGAGAGAAAAUCCUAAGCGGGCUCCACACGGUCAGCGCGGAGCCCGAUGCGGGGCUCGAACCCAAGAAACGCGAGAUCAUGACCGGAGCUGAAACCAAGAGUCGGUCACUCGACCAACUGAGCCACCCAGAGGAAGGGCUUUUAAGUGCCCAGAUGAUUGAAGGACACCCUCCGAGGCCCCCUGCCAGCUGUUUCAGACAUGCUAUUGUCAGCACGGUUUUCCUGACAUAUCAUUUAUACUGCUUUACAAAAAAAUGUUUUAAGGAAUACACAAGCUACUUAGGACAUUUAUAUAAUACAGAAAAGUUUAAAGAAGAAAAUUCAUCUCUAAACCCCCAACAUCCAGAGUCAGACAUGGUUAACAUUUUGGGUUAUCUUUUUUUUUUUUAAUUUUUUUAAUGUUUAUUCAUUUUUGAGAGACAGAGCGUGAGUGGGGGAGGGACAGAGAGAGAGGGAGACACAGAAUCCGAAGCGGGCUCCAGGCUCCGAGCUGUCAGCACAGAGCCCGAUGCGGGGCUUGAACCCACGAACUAUGAGAUCACGACCUGAGCUGAAGUCAGACGCUUAACCGACUGAGCACCCGGGCCCCCCUUGGGUUAUCUUUAAACAAGUGUCAUUUUAAAACAAUGUCGUACAGCGGAUGCCGCUCUAUGCCCUCCUUUCAUUCCCUGGCAAGCUGACUGGCGGGAAGGGCCUCUUACAUGCCGCUGGACAACGUGUUGAUUGGCAAUGCUUUCAGCAGGCUAUUUGGCAUGAGUAUCAAGAAUAUUUUCAAAUCAUCACCCUUCAGCCCACUAACUCCGUUUCUAGGAAUCUGUCUUCAAAGAAAUAUCAGAUGCGUGCAAAAAUUUAUUUACAGAGACUUUCGUUCCAGUGUCGUUUACCAGAGCCAAAAUUAUCAACCUCGUAAAUGUACAAAAUGUAUGGGGAGUGUUGUUUAAUAAACCGUGGUUAUUUGUGAGACGGAAUACCCCG
ensembl:lncRNA